GAUGAACGCUAGCUACAGGCUUAACACAUGCAAGUCGAGGGGAAACGAUAUUGGAAGCUUGCUUCCGAUAGGCGUCGACCGGCGCACGGGUGAGUAACGCGUAUCCAACCUGCCCACCACUUGGGGAUAACCUUGCGAAAGUAAGACUAAUACCCAAUGAUAUCUCUAGAAGACAUCUGAAGGAGAUUAAAGAUUCAUCGGUGAUGGAUGGGGAUGCGUCUGAUUAGCUUGUUGGCGGGGUAACGGCCCACCAAGGCAACGAUCAGUAGGGGUUCUAAGAGGAAAGUCACCCACAUUGGAACUGAGACCCGGUCCAAACUCCUAAGGGAGGCAGCAGUGAGGAAUAUUGGUCAAUGGGCGAGAGCCUGAACCAGCCAAGUAGCGUGCAGGAUGACGGCCCUAUGGGUUGUAAACUGCUUUUAUAAGGGAAUAAAGUGAGUCUCGUGAGACUUUUUGCAUGUACCUUAUGAAUAAGGACCGGCUAAUUCCGUGCCAGCAGCCGCCGUAA
rnacentral:rRNA from 1 species